rnacentral:misc_RNA from 1 species
GAUGAAGAACGCAGUGAAAUGCGAUAAGUAAUGUGAAUUGCAGAAUUCAGUGAAUCAUCGAAUCUUUGAACGCACCUUGCACCCUUUGGACUGCUCCAAAGGGUAUGCUCGUUUGAGUGUCAUUGUACUCUCACACUCUCUGAUCCUUUGGAUUUGGGGAGCAGUGGACUUGGGUGCUUGCUGCUUCCUUGUGGCUCACCUGAAAUGCAUCAGUGCAUCUCUCGAUUGGACAUAGUACGGCGUGAUAAGUGUCUUCGCCGGCACCUCAUAUGAGGGUGGCCGAUCGGGAGCUCUGUGCUUUCAAACCGUCUUCGGACAACGCUGACAACUUGACCUCAAUCGAGUAGGACUACCCGCUGAACUUAAGCAUAUCAAUAAGCGGAGGA